rnacentral:misc_RNA from 1 species
UUUUUUUUUUUUUUUUUUUUU